AAAAAUCCUUUGAGCUUUAGUAAACUCUUCAUAAAACUCCCUUUCCCUUAAAUCUCUUUUAUGAACCGUUAUCCUUUUGUAAAAAGCUUUCAAACUUCUUUCUCCCCGACAUGUUGCAACCACUAAUCAAUCAUGGAGGGACACACCUCAACACUUGCGACCAUCAUCAGAAGGAUAAAUGGAGUCUCUUUUUGUGAACUGGUCAACGGUAAAUUUAUUUUUUAUUUAUUUUUAUUUAUUUUUGCUGACAAAAUUACACAUGCCCUAAAAUCCACCAUGGAUUACCGAGUACAACCCUAAGGAGGCCAGAAACGAUUUCCUGUUAAUUGGUGGCAUUUUUACUCUGACUUCCUGUCAACAACCCCCCAACUCUCCACCCCCAAUAUUUGCAGCUAAAUAAUAUAAUAAAUCAUCCAUAUUUCUUAAAUCUCCUUUCUUCUCACAACAAAAUGUCCUUCCACCCAUGAUAACAUAAUUCAACGCCAACAGCACACACACCCUGCAGUGGUUUCCUGCUCACUCUCAUAUUACUCACCAGCCUUCCCACUUUCAACAAAGAGUGGGGUCACAACCUGUCUGAGCUUCACUCUGCCUGGGGGCCAUGAUGGCCCUGCUGGGUUUCCCUUGGCUGGACUAGCCUGUAUUCAGUCUGGCUUUGGCAGCAAAAUUGACAGCGCAGAUCUUCUGACCAAAACAAGAUAAAGCGAAGCAAUAAAAACAUGACGCUGACCCCGCUGCGCUCUUGUGGAUCUAGAGUCUAAGAAGUGUGCUUUUUAAUGUUAUGAUGGAUUUAUUGACCCUUUAACCACUGUGCAUCCUAAUAACAGAAUAAAUCUUUCUUGAUAAGUCAUCAUGACAAAUCUUUGGGUCUGUUAACCAGAGAGAGACAAGCCAAAAUGCUCUCCCACUAUGAAGUUAGUGAGUGGUUUGGUAGUUGACGUGUGCAACAUCUGAAGGAGAUGAACAGCUUUUCAGUGGCUCCUUUGCUCAGUUGAUAAUAUUGGUCAUCAACGCAGCGAGUUAACCUUGUAUUUCCACAAACAAAGUUGAGAUUAUAAGAGUGUAAAGAAGUCAAACAUGUAAUCUAUGCUUAGAGUAAAACAGCUGCAGCAUGAACAGCUGGCAAAAACUCACUGACUGUAUAAUUAUAGUUAACAAGACUUGAUAUUAAAGCUUUGGCUAAAGGCUGUAUUUUAUAUUAUUAGGGAGAACUCAAUUGUAACUGAAAUAUUUUUGUGUUUCUUUCUUCUUUGUCAAAAAUGAAUCACACAAUUAGCAGCAUAAACAUGCCCCAAACCCGUCAAACUGUGUACACACAUCAGACUUUGCAUAUAGGAAAUAUUUUAUGGGUCCUGUGCAUAAUUUUGCAAAAAAGUUUAAUAUCUCCCCUUUUGAAAUGUCAAAAACAGACCCCAUAGAAGUGACUUUUUAUGAAAUUGAGUGUGCAUCACCUAUAUUGCAAAGGUUCAAAAAACCAAACCAACUUUGCUCCCUCACUCAAAACCUUAAAACCACCAUUCUGAUUUAAAUCUCAAAAUAAUACAGUUUUUUAGGGAUUUAUAGCAGUAAUAUUUGAUCUAAUUUACCCGGGGGUUUCAUUUCAUACUGCAGGCUGCUGUAGAUCCUUACACUUACACUUUGCUGAUGCAACACACCGCACAAUGUACAUGUAGGUGCAAGGGCCCAUUCACUAUUGUUUGUGUCUUUGCUUGUUGCUGUUACUGUUGUAUAAAAAUCCUGGGUGAGCUGUGUUAGUUUGCACGCUUUGCAAGUGUACUGUGCAGAAGAACUCUUGAGAUAAGUGUUUUUUCACGAACACCAGCAGCACAUAACUCCACGCCUCCCAUCAUUCAUCAAAAUCAAGUACACUUUAUCUCACUGAUGUCCUGCUGUGAGAGAAGAGAGAGAGCCAAAUGUGUCUUGGUUCUCUUCCAACUGAUGACAAAUAUCAAAGCAUCACCAGUGAUCAGACACACUACUAAAUCAUGAGGAUUUUUUAGGACUUGGCCCAAUAAAACAUUAAGGAGGGGUUUACUACACAGAUACACACACACACACACACACACACACACACACUGCUGCUGCUCGGUGCGGAAUUAGAAACAAACCGACCGUUACUACCAAUACUGCAUAACGAUCAGGUACAGAUUCACUGCCCUCAGCAGCCAUAAAAUACCUCCAUUUUCAUUAACCCUGAUGUGAACCUGCAGAACAAGAAAGAGGGGACUUAAUAGUGACAGCUGGGUGGACAGCUAAAUUUACAGUUGUGCCUUUUAAAUGCUUUACAGCUCUUAGUAUCUCUCAAACAUCCAGCCAUCCAAUAGAGGGACCCAUAAUUCAUAUCUGCUGCAACACUGAUCAUUUCCCCCUUUGUAAGGUGGCCAAAAAGUCCACAAAGAUAUGUAGAGAUGCAGGCAUUAGAGCAAAACAUCGACAUCUAAUAUGUACCUUGAGUUCAUCCUCACCUCGCCUGAUGACACUCAGUUUAACAGUUCCAUUAAACACAAGUGGGCCUGCAAAAUCCGCUGAUUUAUUCAUAACUUAGUGUUGCUGGAGCUCAGAUAAAAACCAGCUUGAAGCCAUUUUUCCCCAACGACACCGUGAUCAUUCUUAGUCAACAUCUCCGAGCUAGAAUAGGGUAUUUCACCAGAGCAGCACUGAGCAAGUUAUCAUCCCCACUCAGUGCUAAUCAUAUAAAAUCUGCCUGCGUGAAUGUAAGAAAGGAUUAAUAUAAGUAUGAAGGAGGAUCAUACACAUUCCCAUUUCUCCAUUUAUCUGGAUUAUCCUCAUCGUCUCUAGCUGCACGGACUCUGACACACAUUUUCCCACAGACACAUCUGUGACUGAAGUCAGAAACCCCACAGAGACCCACAAUUGUCUCCUCUCUAACCCUUGAAUUAUCCUCUUUGUCCGAUCUAUCCUCCCUUCCUCUGUUGAGCUUCUUCUUCUUCUUCUCCUUCAAGCAUGUAUCCAUCUUUCCAUCUCAAUCCAUCCCAGAAACGUUCCCAUUAAUUUAAUGGACCAGGGUCCUUGUGCAGCUGAGCAGAACGAGGCCCGCUUAGAUGCCCAAAUGCGUAACAACAGUAACACGCUGAACAACACAACAUCCACGCAUGCACACACUUAAAUAACACUCUUCACAUUCUACUUAUUGCACCCCACUUAGAGCUCCCAUACGUAAACAGGCAGCCAUGCGCUCAUGUCCUGAAAGCAUGGCUAUCCAUUUGCGGUGAUGAUCCUGCACCAAAAAGAAAACAAAUUAGAUUUACGUGUCCUGUGGAUGAACUGGCUAACCCUGUCAUAGCACUCUCUUAAUUAGCAACAAGAUCCAAGCAAGUGGCGGGGUGGGGCAUGAUGGGAUUGACUGGUUGAGGGAGGGAUGGGUAGAGGCUUUACCCUCUAUUACUCAUCUGCCAGCACUUGUAUCAAGGGAUGAUACAAAAGGGUAGUGGAGCACUGAAGCUCUCAUCUUUCCCCUCUAUCUAGGAUUCACAGAGAUAGCUCUCUCAGAGAAUAUUCCCAGCAUGGAUCUAUCUCUCUGCGUCUGUGCUGCUGCAGAGAAAGAACAGCCUCUUUUAAAUUUCUUCUAGGGAAUAUACUUUAUAUCCACGUCUCAUUUCCUCUCUACAAUUUGCAUCAAAGCUCACAAUUUUCCAGACGUUUUGAGAAGCUCGUUUUCUUGAAGCCCGGUCUCAUAUGUAGCACAGAACCGGCUACAUCACACACCAGUCUCUCUCUUUUUUUUUUUUUAAUCAUUAAUUUCCUACCACUAUCCUAUCCUUCGGAGCUCAUGCAAACUGCCUUGAUCCUCUCAGAGAGCAUGUAAGGGUGAGAUGGCAUCAAUCAUUGUAUCAUCAGUCUCAGUAUGAUCUCUGUCUAAUGAGCCUGGAAACAGCUGCUCACACAUGCUUUUCUGAAUAAUAGAUGCGAUGGGCCACUGCUUCCACAACUCAUCAUCCUGUAGCUUUCGUCUGCGCUCAGACUGAAUUGGCUCGAGAGGAGUGAGAAAAUGAAUCAUGGCUGUUCGAUAGAUACCGCGCUGUGAAUCAGUGUUAUUCUAGCUUGGUCUUUGGGGGUCUCGGAUGUGGAAGUAUGUAUGUACAUUUCCUAAGGAGCUCAAUGACUUGGAAUGAACUUAUAUAAUGCCUGAAAUGAACCUAUCUACCACAUACUGUUUAAAACAGGGAUGUAGUCUCUACGGCAUCACCCCCGGUUUCUGAACAGAGGUUUUAAAGCAAAACCUAAGCGGAAAAUGGAAAUCCAUCACAGGGGAUGUUGCACUUCUGAUAUUUAAGAGCAAAACUUGUUCUGAAUUUUGCAGCUUUGUGCCCUUUGCUCUUGUGUUGAGUUUGAUUAUGGAAAUGAGUUGUUAGCAUCUUUAAAGCUGUGCUGUGCAAUCUCAUCCUGACAGAGCUCAAUCUAUCCACAUAAAACCGAUAAACUAAAUGGGAAUGAACAUUUUAUUUACCACUAAGCUGGGAAGUUUAAUGAUGAAUGAUGAGCUACAAAUGUCAUUGCCAACAAGGCUUUGCCACUGGGGAGUGAGCCAGUAAGAGCAGCUUAUCCAGAUGACAAACACUCAUUUCUGUUCUGGAAAAUGGCUCAGACCGCCUCCAAACAUGUCAAA
rnacentral:lncRNA from 1 species